UACAGAGGUCUCAAGCGUUGUUCGGAUUCAUUGGGCGUAAAGGGUGCGAAGGUGGCGCCGUAAGUCGGGUGUGAAAUUUCGGAGCUUAACUCCGAAACUGCAUUCGAUACUGCGGUGCUUGAGGACUGGAGAGGAGACUGGAAUUCAUGGUGUAGCAGUGAAAUGCGUAGAGAUCAUGAGGAAGACCAGUGGCGAAGGCGGGUCUCUGGACAGUUCCUGACACUGAGGCACGAAGGCCAGGGGAGCAAACGGG
rnacentral:rRNA from 1 species